CUGACCUCACAUGUGAUGAAGACCAUGGAGCAGCUGCUGCUUCACCACUUGAGGCCACAGGUAUGUCACGCCCUCGACCCUCUGCAGUUCGCAUACCAGGAGAAGGUGGGAGCGGAGGAUGCCAUCAUCUAUAUGCUUCAUCGAUCCCUCUCCCACUUGGACAGAGGCAGUGGUGCUGUAAGAAUUAUAUUUCUAGACUUCUCUAGCACCUUCAACACAAUCCAACCUCUGCUUCUUAGGGACAAGCUGACAGAGAUGGAAGUAGA